CUUCAGAGCUACCUCUCUAACACUGGUCUUCUGCAUCUGACCAUCACUGUCCAGGUCAUUGUCCUCCUCCAGCUGAGGCUCAGAGCAUUCUGGGUAAUUCUGAUCUAGGAAAAGGUCCCUCUCUGAAGGCAUGUGGAGGCUCCAUUGACCAGUCACUCUUCAGGGAAACACAGCUGGGUACAGGGGAGUCUGCUCUCUUCAUCAGAACACUGUGGGCAGCGAGAGGAAACAAACCCUCAUGGAGGGAUGGUCUGUUGCUCGCCUCUAGUAUAAAAGAACUGGCUGAUUGUGGAAGAAGACGGUGAAGACAGAAGAUGGCGAGGUCUUUUUAUUAAGCUACACAUAUUAAAGUGCUGCCCACUGACCAGCCCUAGCUAGGAGCCCAGUUUACUUUUAUGUUAUGGCCUGACUAUAGACCCAGAGACACAUGCAUGCUAGUGGGCUGUAACACUGUUACCUCUCAGGGCUCUUUCUGUUA